GUUAGGAAUAUUCGUCAAUGGGGGAAACCCUGAACGAGCAAUGCCGCGUGAGUGAUGAAGGUCUUAUUGAUCGUAAAACUCUGUUGUAAGAGACGAAACCACAGUAUAGGAAAUGAUACUGUGCUGACGGUAUCUUACCAGAAAGCCCCGGCUAACUACGUGCCAGCAGCCGCGGUAAUACGUAGGGGGCGAGCGUUAUCCGGAUUUAUUGGGUGUAAAGGGUGCGUAGGCGGUUUAUUAAGUCUAAAAUUAAAGCCUGGGGCUUAACCUCAGUUCGUUUUAGAAACUGGUAGGCUUGAGUAUGGUAGAGGUAAGUGGAAUUUCUAGUGUAGCGGUUAAAUGCGUAGAUAUUAGAAGGAACACCAGUGGCGAAGGCGGCUUACUGGGCCAUUACUGACGCUGAUGCACGAAAGCGUGGGGAGCAAAUAGGAUUAGAAACCCUAGUAGUCC
rnacentral:rRNA from 1 species